AUCAUGAAACAAAGUACUCCCACACUAGUAAUCUUAAAAUAGGAACAUUUUGCUGGUCAUUUGGUUCUGUUAAGUUGCAGACCCAUGUCUCUAACUCCCAACAAUCAUUGUAUCCCUUUGGUAUAAAGCAUUUGGUGGGUUUCUCUGUUCCUAAUCUCUUGUUUUCGCCUUGUCUUAGAUUAUUGUCCCAAUAUUCACAACCAGCGAUUAGCAGCUCAAUUCGUGGUCUUUGUUGGUCUGUCAAUUCUUGUGUUAUUUGGGGUUUUCGGUUAAAGUGAAAGUGAGGUCGUAAGCCAUUUUUAUCAACCGUAGAGAUUACAAAACCGUAACCCCAUCGGCGGCCAACAAUAUCUUUAGUCUUGUAACUUUCUCUUGUUGAUUGCUUUAUGAUACAUUUGUCCUGCAUUUGCUUUGUAAGAAACUAUCCAAAAAGAGAUUAUAGAUCACGUAAAACGAUAUCUUCAGUCUUGAUGUCAAUCAUUCCUGGAUCACCCGAAGCCUUUUCCCUUCAUCAUUUUCACACGGUCUGCUCACUUGAUUAAUUAAUGUUUCUAGUGAAAAGCUAUAAACAAAGCAGGCCCAGUUUUCACAACCAAAACAAGAGUUGAGUUUGCAAGGAUGAAUCUGGUUAAGAGAGAUGAUUACACCAACAGCUGCUGUAGUAGCAAACCAACAUCAAGAACACAGCAAAUCAGCAACAAGACAGCACCAGAAACUAUCGGUCGAGAACUGCAGUUCACACUGCUUGACAGUAACAUCAUUUCAGUGAAUAACUUUUUCUUGAAUUUGAAGAGCAGCCCAUUUACCUGCUUGAAAACUUGCAUAUUGACAGAAAUGUAUGACGGACUUCCUGGAACUGAAAACGGUAAUUCACAUAAUGUAGGUGAAGUUUUUGCCU